rnacentral:rRNA from 1 species
CCUACGGGUGGCAGCAGUGAGGAAUAUUGGUCAAUGGACGAGAGUCUGAACCAGCCAAGUAGCGUGAAGGAUGACUGCCCUAUGGGUUGUAAACUUCUUUUAUAUGGGAAUAAAACGUUCCACGUGUGGGAUUUUGUAUGUACCAUAUGAAUAAGGAUCGGCUAACUCCGUGCCAGCAGCCGCGGUAAUACGGAGGAUCCGAGCGUUAUCCGGAUUUAUUGGGUUUAAAGGGAGCGUAGGUGGAUUGUUAAGUCAGUUGUGAAAGUUUGCGGGUCAACCGUAAAAUUGCAGUUGAAACUGGCAGUCUUGAGUACAGUAGAGGUGGGCGGAAUUCGUGGUGUAGCGGUGAAAUGCUUAGAUAUCACGAAGAACUCCGAUUGCGAAGGCAGUUCACUGGACUGCAACUGACACUGAGGCUCGAAAGUGUGGGUAUCAAACAGGAUUAGAUACCCUUGUAGUC